GUUGUAUGAANUGUGAUGUGCGUNAAGGUGGAUGACGAGNGAAAAGUAUAUGGAAGAGUAAGAGUGAAUCGUGUGGGAGUGCUAUAAGGGUCUAGCAGGUUUGGGUUGUAUGGAAAGAAAGGAGUGAAAUGUUUGGAAGGUCCUUGGGAAGCUAGAUAAACCCUAGCACGAGUGGUGAUGCGUGAAUAAGGGAGAGAAUGAGAAUAUUAAAGUGAAGAUGUUUGGGAAUGAUGAGAGCAGGGGAGAAACUACAAAAGUUAGAGAGUGGUCGUGAUGGUGCAAGGAUAGCAUAACAGAAUGGAGAAGAAUAAAUAAAAAAGAGAGAGAGAGAGAGGGGUUUACGGUUUUAGUAAGCAAAGAAAAGGGAAGGUAAGGUAAGGGAUAGUAAUUAAAGAAAGGUACUGGUAUGUUAGUGUAGUAUAAAAUUGGUAGUGUGGUUUUCGAAGAAUAAGAUAGUGGAAGAAAUAAAAGAAGGGAAGGAGAAAGGAAGUCUGUUAGAGUAAUGUGGGUGUGGUGAUGGAAGGGGAAUGUGGAGAAAGAAAGAACUGGUAGUAGAAAAAGGUUGGGGUUUAAUCUUUAGAAUAGUACGUAAGUUUUUAUAUUAUAUUAAUACAAUAUAG
rnacentral:lncRNA from 1 species